UACGGAGGGUGCAAGGGAUCCUCGGAAUCACUGGGCGUAAAGGGCGCGUAGGCGGCCUAGCAAGUCUGGUGUGAAAGCCCAGGGCUCAACCCUGGAAGGGCACUGGAAACUGUUAGGCUUGAGUUCCGGAGAGGAGGGGGGAAUUCCCGGUGUAGCGGUGAAAUGCGUAGAUAUCGGGAGGAAUACCGGUGGCGAAGGCGCCCCUCUGGACGGAAACUGACGCUGAGGCGCGAAAGCGUGGGGAGCAAACAGG
rnacentral:rRNA from 1 species